UCUCUCACAAGAGAAUAUAGGACCUAAUUUCAUUUGAAGAACUUGCAAAUGCAACUGAGGGGUAUUCUGGCAGUGAUUUGAAGAACCUCUGUAUAGCUGCAGCAUACAGGCCUGUUCAAGAACUUCUAGAAGAAGAAAACAAGGGUGGCAAAAAUGAUGCAGCUGCAGUACUAAGGCCUCUUAAUUUGGAUGACUUUAUUCAGUCAAAAGGCAAGGUGGGUCCAUCUGUUGCUUAUGAUGCUGCAAGCAUGAAUGAGCUGAGGAAAUGGAACGAGCAAUAUGGGGAAGGUGGUAGCAGAAGGAAGUCACCUUUUGGUUUCUGAUGCAAUUUUUUUGCUCCACUUUUUCCCCCUUAAUUUUAAUUUUUCAUCCAUUUUUGGAGCGGAUGAGAUGAGAGAGGGGCAACAGGUAGCGUUGUUGUAACUUAUUCUGGGUGGGGAAGAUCCCCUUAGAUGCAGAAUGUUGUCUGAUUUAUUUUUCAAUAAUUGUAUUUGUUAGACAUAGAUUACAUAAAUAGACAUAUGAUCAUUCAAAUA